GACGAACGCUGGCGGCGUGCUUAACACAUGCAAGUCGAACGGUGAAGGGGUCUGCUUUUGUGGGCCCUGGAUGAGUGGCGAACGGGUGAGUAACACGUGAGUAACCUGCCCCCUUCUUCUGGAUAACCGCAUGAAAGUGUGGCUAAUACGGGAUAUUCUGGGUCUGUCGCAUGAUGGGUCUGGGAAAGAUUGCGCCUUUGGGUGUUUUUGGUGGGGGAUGGGCUCGCGGCCUAUCAGCUUGUUGGUGGGGUGAUGGCCUACCAAGGCGGUGACGGGUAGCCGGCCUGAGAGGGUGGACGGUCACACUGGGACUGAGACACGGCCCAGACGCCUACGGGAGGCAGCAGUGGGGAAUAGUGCACAAUGGGCGCAAGCCUGAUGCAGCGACGCCGCGUGAGGGAUGGAGGCCUUCGGGUUGUAAACCUCUUUCGCCAGUGAAGCAGGCCUGCUCCGUGUGGGUGGGUUGACGGUAGCUGGAGAAGAAGCGCCGGCUAACUACGUG
rnacentral:rRNA from 1 species